UUGAAAGCUUUCCCUGCAUCCACUUCUUACCUAAGCUACUUGGAAGUAUGCAUUCCUCUGUGCAUAGAGUUAGAAUUGGAUGUUUCUCAUGGUAGAUCUGGACUAGUAUAGCUGAGCUUUGCAGCGAUAACUCUUCUGCCACCGGCUUGAGGUACUUGACUGGUGGUAGAACUCUGGGUGACAUUUGAUCAUUUGCCUUGGUGUAAGCUGGGCAGAGUUGCCAACAGAUGUCUUGAAUUAAACUAAAGAGUAUUUGGAGGCCUGUUAUGUAGCCUAGGUGCUCAGUUCUUCUUUAUUGGUUCCUUGUUGUCCUCCAAUUACACUGCCUGGUUAAGUAGUUCAAUAUAGAAAUUGUAAUAGGUUGCAAGUAUUGUGAAUGAUCUGAGCAGUUUGGGAAGAAUGAGGGGAAACAGCCUGCAUGGAGAGAGUAUAGUUGAGACUGCUCAGGCUGCUUUCAUUUACCUCUUCACAGAGAUACCAUGGACACAAAGACAGCAGAAUAAAAGUAUGGCAAGUAGUAGUGCCUCCAUUCAUUCAGAGUUAUGUGAGUGGGCUUGGGACAAGAUUUUCUCUUUAUUCCAAGCUCCUCAGGUUGUUCUCUAACAAAAAUUAUAUAGCUUAUGUUAUCUUGGUACAGGGAAUUAAAUAAUUGCUGUCAAAUGAGUGGGUGAGAGUGCUCAGAACAAUGCUGCCAGUGGUAAAAUCCUUCAAAAAUUUUCUUAGUCUUGGCAGCAGGUGUGAGUUUGGUAUCAAAUCAGCCUUAACUUUCAAUGAUAUAAUAUAUUGACAUACAUGCACACUAAAACAGUAAUGUGACUUUUACACUGUUACUGGUUGUGUUUCUUAUUGUCUAGCUUGGUUCUCCACAGUCUUUAAGAAAUUAAGAAUUGUUACCUUAGCUGUGUAGUUGUAAUAGAUGUUCCCUGUUUUUAGCAUGUCUUUAAGAACUUAGGCAUGGGAGAAAUGGGUUAGACAUCCAGGGGGGGAAAACAGAAACUUGCUUAGGGUGUUAAGCAUAGAGCCAGGCUGGGGUUACAAAAAAAAGAGCUGGAGUGGGAGGUGUAACAUAAGCAGUAGGUCUUGUGGUACCUCCCAGGAGCCACCACUGGUGACUGGUCAAGAAAUCAUUUCCUCUUCUUGCCUUCCCUGGCCAUGCAUUGCUGCCAGCAGUGGCCCAGCUGAGUUCUGAGUGGCUGAACUCAAAAUGCUUACUGGUUUAGUUUGGUUGUUACAAAGCCCAAAAGCUAGCAUCAGGUGGUUGCAGCAACUGAUGUGCAAAGUAAGAUGUUGCCCUCUGCUGGUCCCCUUCUUUAGAAAGAAUAAAUAAAUAAAUAAAGGGUCUGGGUGCUUUCAAAUAGCAAUGACUUCUUACGAAGUGUUGUGCUGUACCUGGCCUUCCACCUCCAGAACUAUUUUCCCCCAAGAUACUACAUAUCAAUUACAAUUACAUAAAUGCAUUCGUAGUUAACGCUGUAAGGAAGACAUACUCUUUUAAACAUGAGCUUUAUAAUCUAAUGUGCUUAGCAAUAGCGUAUUUUGAGGACUACAGUUGUGACUUUUUAACUGUCUCAUCAGUAACGUAUUUAAAAUCAACCGUGCGAAUGAAUGCAAAGCCUGAAUCUGAUUUCUGUAGCAACUGCGCUCAACCUGAAAGAAAAGCUAUCUACCAUUUCCUUUCCAAACUGCUAGUCCUUGUGGCCCAUCAGGCACUGAGGUUAAUGGAAUUCCACCUGAGCAGCCUUCAGCUUGCUUUGUUACUGAGGAAUGAGUGUGCGGGCCUGUUAAGCCAUUGGACAGGUGCCCCUAACUGGGGGAAGAGAGCAUAAUGAUGCCACCCCACAGCAGCCCUCAGUAAGGACUUAGCACCUAGAAAAAUGUGUUAGAUUAGCAGGCAGCUUAUAGUGCCUCAAACCAGAGAAAUCUGCUUUCAAUGUGAGUGCUUAUAUUGGCUAAAGAAAAUUGAGCUUUUGGUGGCUGCUUCCCAUCUGCUGGUGAUGUCAGCCAGGGUUUGGUUGGGCAAAGACAUUUAGAGGGUGUGCUCUAACAGGUGUUGAGUGAAGACAGCUGGGUUAAUCUGGUAAUAGUUUCUGAGUUAACCCAUCUCUGUCUCUCAUAGUGUGUGUGAACUUGUCCGUACCAGCCAUCUGUCUAUUCCUCCAAGAAUGUUGGGUGGAAACCCUCCAGCUGAUAGAGCAUGAUACGCAGCUGGAAGGUGAAUGGCUCUUCUCAAUAAAGUAGGGUAUAGUGGUUCUUCAGGAUAAAUGAGCUAGCAAAUAAGCAGUUCUAGGGAGACUUAGAUUAGGCCCUAGUACCUACUUUUCAUAUUACAAUUGUGUUUUAAAUAACUAAUAUAUUUUCUAGUUCUCUGCUACUCUCCCCUACUCCCUACAAAAGUAAAAGGUUAGUGAGGUUGGCUCCCAGUGCACAGAAGCGCACGUGCCUUGCACGGUAGAGUAGUUCUGUUUUUAGAAUCAUAUUUAUUAAACUGAUACUGCACCUUUUCUGCUGUUUUGAAUAUCUGAAUCUUGAAAAAUACAAUUUAGACUUCAUCUGUAUGAGAAUUUGUGUUUAACAGAAAGGAGAAGAAAAAGUGGCUGCCAUUAAAGAGAAUAUUUCGGGGGGGGGGGGGGCCCGGGACUGGUACAGAAUUAGAAAACAGUAUCACAGGCUUCAGAGCUUUGGAUAUAUAUUCUUCAGCAACUGUUGUAUCAAAUUCCAAGUGAUAAUAUCUUGUAAACGCUUUAUUAUUAAAAACCUGUAAUCGAUUUGAACUGCAAGAAACUGAGUAGUAGCAGUCAAAACUUCACAAGGACA